UUCCGGUUGAUCCCGCCGGAGGCGACCGCUUUGGGAGUUCGAUUAAGCCAUGCGAGUCGUGAGUCUUAGGGACUCGGCAUACUGCUCAGUAACACGUGGAUAACCUGCCCUAUCGUCUGGAAUAACCUCGGGAAACUGAGAAUAAGGCCGGAUAGUUCACAAUGCCUGGAACGGUUUGUGAAUCAAGGUAGGAUGGGUCUGCGGCGUAUCAGGUUGUAGGGGGUGUAAAGGACCCCCUAGCCUUCGACGCGUACGGGUGUUGGGAGACAUAGCCCGGAGAUGGAUUCUGAGACACGAAUCCAGACCCUACGGGGUGCAGCAGGCGCGAAAACUUCACACUGCAGGAAACUGUGAUGAGGGAACUCCUAGUGCAUGCACUAUGUGUAUGUAGAUCCUACUCUUAACAAGUAGAGGGAAAGGGCUGGGAAAGACCGGUGCCAGCCGCCGCGGUAAUACCGGCAGCUCAAGUGAUCGUCGCUUUUAUUGGGCCUAAAACGUCCGUAGCCUGUUUGGUAAAUCUGUGGGUAAAUCAAUCCGCUCAACGGAUUGAAUUCUGCAGAGACUGCCAGACUAGGGACCGGGAGAGGUGUGGGGUACUCGAGGGGUAGGGGUAAAAUCCUGUCAUCCUUCGAGGACCACCAGUUGCGAAGGCGCCACACUGGAACGGAUCCGACGGUCAGGGACGAAGCCUAGGGGCACGAACCGGAUUAGAUACCCGGGUAGUCCUAGGUGUAAACGCUGUGAACUUGGUGUCGGGGGUCCGCAAGGGGUCCCCGGUGCCGGAGUGAAGAUGUUAAGUUCACUGCCUGGGGAGUACGGUCGCAAGGCUGAAACUUAAAGGAAUUGGCGGGGCAGCAC
rnacentral:rRNA from 1 species